GCUAACUACGUGCCAGCAGCCGCGGUAAUACGUAGGGUGCGAGCGUUAAUCGGAAUUACUGGGCGUAAAGCGUGCGCAGGCGGCUUCGCAAGUCAGACGUGAAAGCCCCGGGCUUAACCUGGGAAUGGCGUUUGAAACUACGGAGCUCGAGUGUGGCAGAGGGAGGUAGAAUUCCACGUGUAGCAGUGAAAUGCGUAGAUAUGUGGAGGAAUACCGAUGGCGAAGGCAGCCUCCUGGGCCAACACUGACGCUCAUGCACGAAAGCGUGGGGAGCAAACAGGAUUAGAUACCCUUGUAGUC
rnacentral:rRNA from 1 species